UUGCCCUGCCAGCGUUCGCAUGGUCCUGCACCUCGGCUAAUGCUCGUUUUGAUAGCCAGGCAGGAUAAAUGCACUUUCUAAGUGACACCUGACAUUUACUGGAGUCUUUCUGUAGUCUAGAAAUACUGGACUAACUCUACUUUCUCCAGAGUGCAUGCACGUGACAUUCUUUGACCAAAGUGGCAUUGAGUUUAAGUAAAGACCUAAUUCACCCAUUUCUACUAUUUAUGAUGUUACUGUUUUUUUUUUCUGUUCCCUUCUCACCCAAAUCUUCUUGCUUUCUCCCUUUUAAGUUUUGGGGUCGUCUCAUUGCUUGCUUUUUGCUGUUUUUGGAGCCAUUUUCAGUAAAUUUUCGUUCACAGUAUUGAUGUCCAGCUUCUUUCAAAAGUGUGGAUUAACUUUGGCUUUCGAGGCUGUAUGCACGGAUCCAGCUCUGCUGUUGCCCAAAUGAACGGGAAACACUGUUAGCGGUUUCAGAGUGGGACUUGGUGCUUUUUUUUCCCCAGAAGACACCUAGAGCUCUUCUCUGCUCUCCACUUUUCAGGAGUUUUUCUUUCUCUGAGUAAUGUUAACUGAGUGUCGCUUUUCCUACUAUUUAAUGGCUGUUUCACAGAGUCAUUUGGUUAAUACACAAAUUAGCUGUAGCAGCCACUCACGUUUUUACUGACAGUCCCUUGACGUUCACUCCUCCGCUCUGCUUUCUUAGGGAGCCCGAGCAAGCGCAGUCGGCUGCUCUAUUUAUCACACCUGUGACGUCGCCUGCGGCCGGACGCCAGGGUCUUCAGCAAGGAUCAGACCUUCCAAGACCAAAAGCCCGGGCCAGCACCGCUCCUGCUGCCGACCGCCUCCGGCUGGCAAGCACCCCCGGGUCGGCGGGGCUCAGCCGGCAGAGGGAGGCACGAGCAGUUUGACGGCCCGUGUACUGACUCACCAUCCUUGUGUUAUUAUUACUGGUAGUCAAGUCAUGACAGGAUCCAGGAGCCUGAACCGCAGGCCAGGAAUGCGCCUUGGAAGGGGAACUCCCGACCAUCCCGCUCUACCCUGCUUUGGUUUGAGCUGCGAAAGCGGUCUCAGAGCAGGCACAAAUGGGAUUUUUUUUUUUCAGCAGGAGCUAACUGGAAGGUGUGCGCUGAAUGCUAAGGAUGGUGAGCCCUUUGGAGCAGCUACUCUAAAUAAUAUCCCCUAAAACACGUGUGGUGUGGAUGUCGGGUCCUCAGCUCCAGCUGCGUCGCUCCACAGCCCUGCUCCUCCCGCACCUCCGUGCUCGCUCGCACCGGCAGGGCCGGACGCUGCCCAGGCACACGGAGGGACGCUCGUCUCGGCAGGAGCGAUGCCGGCCAGUUCACGCUGUCUUCCUGGGGUGUUGGGGGAGACACAGAAAGCAUACCCGCUGCUUAAGGGUUUUUUUCCCCUAACUUCUCAGUAACAAACUGAUGGACGUCAUUGUUGUUUGGGUUAUGAUUUAAUUCGCAGUACUAAGAAGUUGAAGGGACGAGGAAGUCUGAAUGAAGGUACUGAAACUUAGGGUUGGGACAAAAGGGAAAUUAUCUGAAUUAUCUCCCAGGAAUAUAGGGUAUAUUUUUUUGUUUAAGAUAUGUUAUUUUCUAGAACAAAAAAGCCUGUCAAAAGGACCAAGCAGGAAAGGUAGAAUAACAAUGCAGGAUUUAUAACUCUCUGGUAAGAAAGUCAACAGUGCUUUGAUUUGCAAAGGCUGUUUUUAAGAAAAUUGACCUCUCCGAUGACAGGUUCAGAGACUGAGGAGGCUCAUAGGCAAGAAGCUGAGUUGAGCUGGUCUUGUUACGGCUGGAGAACAAGGGACGUGCUGCCCGGUGGAGAUGCUGAGGACCCUCUUUGCACGCUGUGCGACGGUGCAACGCGGCACACGGCUCAGGAGGAGUGCACGGUCCAGCCGCAGUGCUUACCCAGGAGCUGCUCGUUGCACACCGGUUUGACACGAGGACAUCUCGCACUCUGCUCUAGUGCUCCCCAGGCUGUCGUGUAUGUGAGGGCUGCCCAGGUCAUUCGUCAUCUGCACUUCUAUCAUUAACCUUCUCCUAUAUGCAUAGUAUUUUAAUUCUUCUCUACAUCUCUACGGUACCAUUUUUCAGAAGUAUUGAGAAAAAGCUGUAAAUAGUUUUUGAAAUAAUUAAUGGAUGCUCUAACUCCAACGUAUUGCUGUAUUUUAUCGAUAAUGUUAUUUCCAUAAUAAAAAUAUUUAACACAAA